GUUAGGAAUCUUCCACAAUGGGCGCAAGCCUGAUGGAGCGACGCCGCGUGAGGGAUGAAGGUUUUCGGAUCGUAAACCUCUGAAUCUGGGACGAAAGACGCGUAAGCGGGAUGACGGUACCAGAGUAAUAGCACCGGCUAACUCCGUGCCAGCAGCCGCGGUAAUACGGAGGGUGCAAGCGUUACCCGGAAUCACUGGGCGUAAAGGGCGUGUAGGCGGUUGCGUAAGUCUGGCUUUAAAGACAGGGGCUCAACCCCUGGGAUGGGCUGGGUACUGCGCGACUAGACCUCUGGAGAGGUACUCGGAAUUUCUGGUGUAGCGGUGGAAUGCGUAGAUACCAGAAGGAACACCGAUGGCGAAGGCAGAGUACUGGACAGAAGGUGACGCUGAGGCGCGAAAGUGUGGGGAGCAAACCGG
rnacentral:rRNA from 1 species